CUCUCUUUACCCUCUGCGACGUCGACGUGUGCGUAAUCCAUGGCGACCUCGCUCGGCGCUCCGCGCCUCCCCUUCUCCCCGUCCUCUUUCCAAACCCUCUCUCGUAAGCUCCCCUUCUCCCUCUUCCUCUUCCCCACUCCAUCCUCCUCCUCCUCCUCCUCCUCCUCCUCCUCCUCUAAACCCUUCUCCGUUCUCUCCAAAACCCUACGCGCCCCCCUCCAACCCCGCCGCCGCCUCGGCGCCCGCGCCGCCGCCGACGCCGCCUCCGAGAAUGGCCCCGCCGAGGCGGCGCCGCAGCACUUCGAUUUCGACCUCUUCACCAUCGGCGCCGGAAGCGGCGGCGUCCGGGCCUCGCGGUUCGCCGCCAAUUACGGCGCCUCGGUCGCCAUAUGCGAGCUCCCCUUCGCGACGAUCGCGUCCGACAACGCAGGCGGUUUCGGCGGAACCUGUGUGCUCCGCGGAUGUGUUCCUAAGAAGCUACUUGUAUAUGCAUCCAAAUACUCCCAUGAGUUUGAGGAGAGCCAUGGUUUUGGAUGGACCUACGAAACUGACCCAAAACAUGACUGGAGCACUCUGAUGGCCAACAAGAAUGCGGAGUUGCAACGCCUUACUGGGAUUUACAAAAAUAUUCUGACGAAUGCAGGUGUGACGUUAAUCGAAGGUCAUGGAAAGGUACUUGGUCCUCAUACUGUUGAUGUUGAUGGUAAACUGUAUACUGCUAGGCACAUACUAAUAGCAGUCGGUGGAAGACCGUCUUUCCCAGAUAUUCCAGGAAAGGAGUAUGCUAUAAAUUCUGAUGCUGCUCUAGACUUGCCUUCAGCACCUAAAAAGAUUGCGAUAGUUGGUGGUGGGUACAUAGCUUUGGAGUUUGCUGGUAUCUUCAAUGGCUUAAUGAGUGAGGUCCAUGUGUUUAUUCGGCAAAAGAAAGUCCUUAGAGGAUUUGAUGAGGAGAUUAGGGAUUUUGUUGCUGAACAAAUGUCUUUGAGAGGAAUCAAUUUUCAUACCGAGGAAUCCCCUCAGGCAAUUGUAAAAUCAGCUGAUGGUUCACUUUCAUUAAAGACGAACAAAGAAACUGUUGAUGGUUUCUCACACGUAAUGUUUGCUACUGGUCGGAGACCAAAUACAAAGAACUUGGGUUUGGAGGAGGUUGGAGUGCAAUUGGCUAAGAAUGGAGCAAUAGUGGUUGAUGAAUACUCUCAGACCUCAGUUGAUUCCAUUUGGGCUGUCGGCGAUGUUACCGACAGGUUGAACUUGACUCCAGUUGCUUUGAUGGAAGGCUCAGCUUUUGCUAAAACUGUGUUUGGCAAUGAACCGACUAAACCAGAUUACAGAGCUGUGCCAUCUGCUGUGUUUUCCCAGCCACCUAUAGGACAAGUUGGUCUUACUGAGGAGCAGGCCGUUCUAGAGUAUGGAGAUGUUGAUAUCUUCACAGCUAACUUCAGACCUCUCAAGGCCACUCUUUCUGGUCUACCUGAUCGUGUAUAUAUGAAAGUCAUUGUCUGUGCUAAUACAGACAAAGUUUUAGGGGUCCACAUGUGUGGCGAUGACUCCCCUGAGAUUAUACAGGGAGUUGGGAUUGCUGUGAAAGCUGGUCUAAAAAAGGCAGAUUUCGAUGCAACAGUUGGUAUUCACCCGACAUCAGCAGAGGAGCUUGUUACAAUGAGGAAUCUGACUAGGAAAAUUCGAAGGGAUCCUCCUACUGAGGAAAAGACUAAGGAUGAGAUCAAGUCUGCAGUGGAUAGCUAAAAUUUUGGCGAUGAGGUAAAAUGUACAUAAUCUGGUAAUGGAGGCACCCAAGUCCCAAAACUGUUCUGUGAUGUAGAGGCUUCGUGGUGGGACUGAUGGAGGUUUCUGAAUGAGAACGAGAGCACACAUAAGGAGAUGUAAUUUAUUAGUUGUCAAUCCUCUCCAUGCUAGUUUUACUUUUUUAUGUCUUCAUUUUUGGCAAAUCCUCGAGAGUGUAACAAUGCCGGUAAAUUGGCUGUAAAUACUAUUUUCUCAUGUUCUUUUGCAUGAAACUAAAAAGCUGCUUCAAAUCAUCGAGUGGUUCGAACUGAACCAAAUUCCUCUCCGCA